GCACCAUUAGCUCAGUUGGUAGAGCAAUUGACUCUUAAUCAAUGGGUCUCAGGUUCGAGUCCUGAAUGGUGUA
rnacentral:tRNA from 1 species